CCUACGGGAGGCAGCAGUGGGGAAUAUUGCACAAUGGGGGGAACCCUGAUGCAGCAACGCCGCGUGGGUGAAGAAGUACUUCGGUAUGUAAAGCCCUGUCAGCAGGGAAGAAAAUGACGGUACCUGACCAAGAAGCCCCGGCUAACUACGUGCCAGCAGCCGCGGUAAUACGUAGGGGGCAAGCGUUAUCCGGAUUUACUGGGUGUAAAGGGAGCGUAGACGGCAAGGCAAGUCUGGAGUGAAAGCCCGGGGCUCAACCACGGGACUGCUUUGGAAACUGUGUUGCUGGAGUGCAGGAGGGGUAAGCGGAAUUCCUAGUGUAGCGGUGAAAUGCGUAGAUAUUAGGAGGAACACCGGUGGCGAAGGCGGCUUACUGGACUGUAACUGACGUUGAGGCUCGAAGGCGUGGGGAGCAAACAGGAUUAGAUACCCUUGUAGUC
rnacentral:rRNA from 1 species